rnacentral:sRNA from 1 species
CGACCUGGCCCUGCGGAACUGCCUGCUCACGGCUGACCUGACGGUGAAGAUUGGUGACUAUGGCCUGGCUCACUGCAAGUACAGAGAAGACUACUUCGUGACCGCCGACCAGCUGUGGGUGCCUCUGCGCUGGAUCGCGCCGGAGCUAGUGGACGAGGUGCACAGCAACCUGCUCGUCGUGGACCAGACCAAGAGCGGGAAUGUGUGGUCCCUGGGCGUGACCAUCUGGGAGCUCUUUGAGCUGGGCACGCAGCCCUAUCCCCAGCACUCGGACCAGCAGGUGCUGGCGUAUGCGGUCCGGGAGCAGCAGCUCAAGCUGCCCAAGCCCCAGCUGCAGCUGACCCUGUCGGACCGCUGGGCGCCACCGAAGCUGAAGAGGAGUUUGAACGGCGCUGGCGCUCUCUGCGGCCCGGCGGGGGCAGCGUGGGGCCCGGCCCCGGUGCGGUGGGGCCCAUGCUGGGCGGCGUGGUGGAGCUUGCCGCUGCCUCGUCCUUUCCGCUGCUGGAGCAGUUCGCGGGCGACGGCUUCCACGCGGACGGCGACGACGUGCUGACGGUGACGGAGACCAGCCGAGGCCUCAA